GCCCGCCGGUCGCAGAGCUGUCAGCAAGCUCCAAACCGCGGCUGCCGCCCGGAGGGAAGCAGACGGGGAGUCGGUGGCGGCCGCCGAGUCCGCAUGCGCAGGCUGCAAAGGCCCUUUUGGGCCGGUCCCGCCGCGCUAGGUUGGCGAGUGGGACUAUUUGAUCCUUUCCAGGUUCGCCAGCGUGGUGUUACGAGAGGAAAGCGCAGCCGCAGCGUACGAAUGGGAAGGCCAAACACGGUCCCGGGGAGUCUGAGGGAAGCUGCAGGGCGCCUGGAAUUGGGGUCUCGAGUGAGCCGGUAAAAACCGCCUCCCGCUGAGCGUCCCGGAACAAAUACUGUCUGAACUGAGCCGUAAGCAAGAAACGGUCAGGAGAAGCUGGGGCGAUCUGAUGAUUAGAACAUUUCAGGGACUACCAGAGAGAAGUGCGUAAUUGCUCUAAGGCAGGUAGGUAAUUGGCCUGGAAACUUGGGAACGCCCCGCCCCCCACCCCGACUUUCAGCAAACCACCGUGCCCAGGAAAAAGAGCGAUUGUGGAAGACCCUGUGAAGAAGAGACCAGGAAGGCACUGUGGCUUAAGAGAGCAAGGCGUUCCUGAAUGCAGCCAACAUCAACUGGUAAACAAAAAACUGUGAGAACGGAUCCUGAAUCUUGCGCUUACCAGGGGAAAUUCAGGAGAGAUAUGAACCUGAGCAAGAUGAGGUUGAAGUUACUCAAUGCGGCAUUAAGCCUGUUCACGGCCACUUCCUCCGGCGUCACCAACACACACACUGUACACCAGCAGUAUUUUUACACGGGGUAUGUGUGUUAAGUACUAUCAGGUGGAUAAUUAUUACUUCACCUGUAUUUGCUGCCUUGAUACCAUUAGAGAAACUCAUGAAUUAUAAAUAGCAUAGUGAAUUUGUGAUUCCCUGAAGAUAUACUAAGGUGGACUUUUAAAAAGGCUUCUAUUCCAAAGGGAACUAAUAUGGAGGAAAUGGUUUCGAGAAAGAAAAAAGAAAAAACGGAGUCCUUGAUUAGUUGUGGGGAAGGCAACAUAAUGUAAUGUGAAGAAUAAAGGAGUCAGAUCCAGGAAACCCCAUAACUAUUAUGUAAGUUAUCUUCAUCUGUAAAGUGGUUAGGAUCCUGAUAGUCUCAAAGGUUUGUUUUGAGGUUUCAUGAAGCAGAUAAAUAUUCUUGUAAAUUGUAGAAUGUUAUACCAGUGUUACUCAUUAUUCUAACAAGAGCAGAGUAGUGAAGAGAGGCUCCUUCAGAAAUUCCUUGGGAUUUUUUUUUUUUUGGCUUCUGUUUUUUUAUAUCACAAGGUAGUGUCUCUGAAAAAUGGUAGAUGAUUUCAAUGUCCACAAAUAUGCAGGUGUAGACAUUCAAUUGAGGUACUGUACCCAAGGCAGCCAGCAAAAUGCUGAACAUAGAAAAUAACUUUGUAAACAAAAUGCAAUAUUUCUAGACAGUGAGUUAUCACCAGUGUGCUGCCUAUGACCCUGGCCUUAAGGAAAAAGUAGCAGAGCUGAAGAAGUUCUAAGGAUGGAAAUUAAAAAUUAUUAAGGAGAUAAUAGACUUCGUGUUAUAGGAAAUAAAAAUAGCAAGGGUCUUCAAUGGUGAGUGAUUUUGAGAUUAAUUACAUAACUAUGAAUUCUGUAAUAUUAGAACUAAGCUUUACAAAGCAUUCCUUAAAAAAAGAUAAUUUUACAACAAAGGUAACAUUAGACAGAAAAAAAUGUACAAAACUAAAAUUAAGUGAUUAAUGCUUGGGAAUGUUUCCUCCAAUGUUCAUCUAGUCAUGGUUUUCACGAAUCACUCUUGCCAAUAAAACCGAAAAUCAAAGUAAUCUA
rnacentral:lncRNA from 10 species